rnacentral:tRNA from 1 species
CGCGACGAUCCGGGUGGUCCCGGGCUUCGGCUCAUACCUGAAAGUGCUGCGGGUUCGACUCCCGCCGUCGCGU